GACGAACGCUGGCGGCGUGCUUAAUACAUGCAAGUCGAACGGACAGGCCCUGCUUUUGUGGGGUGCUCGUGUGGCGCACGGGUGAGUAACACGCGAGUAAACUGCCCUUGACUUUGGGAUAUAUUCAGGAAACAGGGGCUAAUAUCGCAUAUGAGCUCCUGCUGCAUGGUGGUGGUUGGAAAGUUUCGGCGUUUGGGGAUGGUCUCGCGGCUUAUCAGCUUGUUGGUGGGGUAGUGGCUUACCAAGGCUUUGACGGGUAGCCGGCCUGAGAGCGUGACCGGCCACAUUGGGACUGAGGUACGGCCCAGACUGCUACGGGCCGCAGCAGUGGGGAAUAUUGCAGAAUGGGCGGAAGCCUGAUGCAACAACGCCGCGUGCGGGAUGACGUGCUUCGAGUUGUAAACCACUUUCUCCUGUGACGAGGCGGGAUUGACGGUAAUGGGUAAAGAAGCACCGGCUAACUACGUG
rnacentral:rRNA from 1 species